rnacentral:rRNA from 1 species
UUCGUCACACUAUCAUUACGUGAAUACAUAGCGUAAUGAAGCGAACCGGGGGAACUGAAACAUCUAAGUACCCCGAGGAAAAGAAAUCAACCGAGAUUCCCCCAGUAGCGGCGAGCGAACGGGGAGCAGCCCAGAGUCUGAAUCAGCUUGUGUGUUAGUGGAACGGUCUGGAAAGUCCGACGGUACAGGGUGAUAGUCCCGUACACCAAAAUGCACAGGUUGUGAACUCGAAGAGUAGGGCGGGACACGUGGUAUCCUGUCUGAAUAUGGGGGGACCAUCCUCCAAGGCUAAAUACUCCUGACUGACCGAUAGUGAACCAGUACCGUGAGGGAAAGGCGAAAAGAACCCCGGCGAGGGGAGUGAAAAAGAACCUGAAACCGUGUACGUACAAGCAGUGGGAGCCUCUUUAUGGGGUGACUGCGUACCUUUUGUAUAAUGGGUCAGCGACUUAUAUUCUGUAGCAAGGUUAACCGUAUAGGGGAGCCGAAGGGAAACCGAGUCUUAACUGGGCGUUAAGUUGCAGGGUAUAGACCCGAAACCCGGUGAUCUAGCCAUGGGCAGGUUGAAGGUUGGGUAACACUAACUGGAGGACCGAACCGACUAAUGUUGAAAAAUUAGCGGAUGACUUGUGGCUGGGGGUGAAAGGCCAAUCAAACCGGGAGAUAGCUGGUUCUCCCCGAAAGCU